rnacentral:lncRNA from 10 species
CCUGCUGCUUCUCAAUUUCCUUCAGCUCAAAAAUGAUCCUUAUGCCAAUAUGGAAUAUUUUUGGGGUGGCAUAUUCUGCUCCUCUUCAGCAUCCUUCCUGCUCUGUGGCCUGUUGUGCUUCAAUUUCGUCAUCUUCAAAACCAGGAAGAGCUAUAUUCAUCUUAUCUCACAAAGCUGAUUAACAUAAAUGAAGGAGCCUUGGAAAAUGGAAAGCAUUAUACAAAUAAACAUAGUCUCACUCUUUUUCCCAGGCUGGUCUCAAACUCCAGGGCUCAAGCAGUCCUCUG